AACGAACGCUGGCGGCAGGCUUAACACAUGCAAGUCGAGCGCCCCGCAAGGGGAGCGGCAGACGGGUGAGUAACGCGUGGGAAUCUACCCAUCCCUACGGAACAACUCCGGGAAACUGGAGCUAAUACCGUAUACGCCCUUCGGGGGAAAGAUUUAUCGGGGAUGGAUGAGCCCGCGUUGGAUUAGCUAGUUGGUGGGGUAAUGGCCUACCAAGGCGACGAUCCAUAGCUGGUCUGAGAGGAUGAUCAGCCACACUGGGACUGAGACACGGCCCAGACUCCUACGGGAGGCAGCAGUGGGGAAUAUUGGACAAUGGGCGCAAGCCUGAUCCAGCCAUGCCGCGUGAGUGAUGACGGCCCUAGGGUUGUAAAGCUCUUUCGCAGGUGAAGAUAAUGACGGUAACCUGAGAAGAAGCCCCGGCUAACUUCGUGCCAGCCGCCGCCGUAA
rnacentral:rRNA from 1 species